CCUACGGGAGGCAGCAGUGAGGAAUAUUGGUCAAUGGGCGAGAGCCUGAACCAGCCAAGUCGCGUGAGGGAAGACGGUCCUAUGGAUUGUAAACCUCUUUUGUCGGGGAGCAAAAAGGCCUCGUGAGGCCACAAGUGAGAGUACCCGAAGAAAAAGCAUCGGCUAACUCCGUGCCAGCAGCCGCGGUAAUACGGAGGAUGCGAGCGUUAUUCGGAUUUAUUGGGUGUAAAGGGCGUGUAGGCGGGAAAGCAAGUCAGAUGUGAAAACCAUGGGCUCAACCUGUGGCCUGCAUUUGAAACUGUUUUUCUUGAGUACUGGAGAGGCAGACGGAAUUCCUAGUGUAGCGGUGAAAUGCGUAGAUAUUAGGAGGAACACCAGUGGCGAAGGCGGUCUGCUGGACAGCAACUGACGCUGAGGCGCGAAAGCGUGGGGAGCAAACAGGAUUAGAUACCCGUGUAGUC
rnacentral:rRNA from 1 species